CCCAUUUGUUCAGCACUUGGACGGAGAUGCCAGCAGCUUCCAGGCAGAGGGAGAAUCGAAGCAUUAUUCACAAUAGCAAGAUGUGGGAACAACUCAAGUGUUAAUCAACAGAUGAGUGGAUAAAGAAAAUGUGCUAUACAUGUACAGUGUGAUAUUAUUCAGCUUUACAAAGGAAGGAAAUCCUGCCAUUUAUGGACAAUGUGGAUGAACCUGGAGGACAUUAUGCUAAGCAAAAUAAGCCAGUACCAAAGGUCAAGUACUGCAUGAUUCCACUUGUAUGAGAGAUCUUUAUAGUCAACAUCAUAGAAGUAGUGAGUGCAAUAGGGCUUGCCAGGGGCUGCAAUGUUAUUCAUCAGGCAAGUUCAAACUCAGAAGGCGAAAGUCCAGCGGAAAGUACCGGAACUGAGGGAAAACUAUUUGCCUAACCACCCACACCACUGAAUGCUUUCUUGGAAUCUGCUGUGUGUUUAAGAUGAUAUCCUACCCACACACAUGUAACCUUUACCUUUUUGCAAACCAAAUCUGAUUCUACAAGGAAAGCACAAAAAUAAAAAUAUUUUUCUCUCAAAU
rnacentral:lncRNA from 1 species